rnacentral:rRNA from 1 species
CAUCAUGGCUCAGGACGAACGCUGGCGGCGUGCUUAACACAUGCAAGUCGAACGGAGCACCCUUGACUGAGGUUUCGGCCAAAUGAUAGGAAUGCUUAGUGGCGGACUGGUGAGUAACGCGUGAGGAACCUACCUUCCAGAGGGGGACAACAGUUGGAAACGACUGCUAAUACCGCAUGACGCAUGGCCGGGGCAUCCCGGGCAUGUCAAAGAUUUUAUCGCUGGAAGAUGG